UACAGGGGGGGCAAGCGUUGUUCGGAAUUACUGGGCGUAAAGGGCUCGUAGGUGGCCAACUAAGUCAGACGUGAAAUCCCUCAGCUUAACUGGGGAACUGCGUCUGAUACUGGAUGGCUUGAGUUUGGGAGAGGGAUGCGGAAUUCCAGGUGUAGCGGUGAAAUGCGUAGAUAUCUGGAGGAACACCGGUGGCGAAGGCGGCAUCCUGGACCAGUACUGACACUGAGGAGCGAAAGCCAGGGGAGCAAACGGG
rnacentral:rRNA from 1 species